rnacentral:lncRNA from 1 species
CUCAGCUUCUCCUUGAUUCCCUGUAAAUGGAAUAUUGAAGGCUGGGAAAGAGAGGAGGGCAAAAGGCUAAUGUGACAAGAAAAAGAAGAACAAAUAAAGAAGAAUGAACCAUGCAGUAAGCACACAACAUCUAAGGAAGAAAACAGGAACGUUUGCAGCUGCAUGAGGUGCUGUGGUGUGACAUUGAAGCCUGUUUCAGGUGUUCCUGAGGGCUUAAGUUGCUAACUUAAAUCUUUACUAAGUAGUAUGCUUCUGUGAAGAAUGUAUGUAAAAUAAUGGAGAAACUUAGCAAGGACUUACUGCUUUCUGGGGA